ensembl:lncRNA novel transcript
CUUGUCUCCUAGACCAUACUUUGGGUGAGUUGGGGAAAAAUCUGAGGCCUGAGAAGUGCUUUCUUUGAGGAUCUUGUCACAGAACGGCAAAGACUGCAGUAUGGACAGUUCUUAGAAAAAUGUAAAGAUGCAGCUUAGGACAGAGAAAUCUAAUUGCAUGGAAGAACAUACUGAAGAAAAAGGCCUGAAUAAAUGAAAAUGACAAUGGGAAGACUGGAUAUUUCUGAAAAGGGACUAAAGCAACUCUUCUGUGGCUCCUGGGUAUCUGUUUUCUAUUGCUGCCAUAAGAAGUUACUACAAACUUAGUGGCUUAAAAUAAUAUAUAUUUAUUUUUAACAGUUCUUUAGAUCAGAAGUCCAAAUUGGGUCUCACUGGGCUAAAACCAAGAUUUAAGGCAUUCUUUUCUGCAAUAUUUUCUGGAGACUUAGGGGAAAAUUCUGUUCACUUACCUUUUCCAUCUUCUAAAGGCCACUAAUAUUCCUUGUCUCCUGGUUCCCUUCCUUCAUCUUCAAUGUCAAUAAUUCAUGUCCAGUCCUGCUCAAGCUGCCAUCUUUCUGGUUCUCUGCAGUGACAAAGGUUAUUCAUUUCUAAGUACUCCUGUGAUUUGAUUUGGCCUACCUGCACAAUGCAGGAUAAACUCUACAUCUCAAGGUUCUUAACUUUAACUAUAUAUGAAAAUUCCCUUUUGACAUGCAAAGUAGCAUGCUGAUAGUUUUCAAAGAUACGGAUGAGGACAUCUUUAAGGGUAUUAUUCUUCCUACCACAGUAGGUCUUUUUAAAGUUCCUUGGGAGCCAAGGUGACUUCUUCCUCCCUCACUUGCUGCAAGCUCAGAUCCCUUUAGUACUCACAGACUCUUAGGAAUACAGAAGGUCAGAGCUUUAAAUUCCUUAAAGUGUGUCUUUCCUCCUCCAUCCUACAUCAUACGAGUGCCAAAGAGGGAAGGGAUUGAUAAAUUGAGUACUAAAGAGGGAAAUAAUCAUAUGAAAAUCAAAACAAUUUAAGAUCACAACCAAGAUGCACACACAUACAUCCACACAUUUAUAUCUGCACAUCUGUGUUUAUGAACAGCCCUUAUAUUAGGACUGUGGUUAUAUUCUUCAUGGUUAUUGGUGUUCGUGUUUAUUAUACAUGUAAAUACACAAUGUCAAAUUCUUCCCUAGUAUUGCAGUCUGCAAGACAGGUAACUUCUUGAUAUUUCUGAAUUGCAUAUGUCCCUAGUAGGUGCAGAUGUUAACUGGAGGUUUUUUGUUUGUUUCUCUUUCUCCUAGAUAUUUUAAAAUUUUAUGGUUAGUAGCAGCAUUCUCGCUUCAUGAAGCAGGGGCUACUGGUUUCUGUAUCAAACUGAGCAUGAAUGUGCAAGAAUAAUAUUUAAGUUACUUCCUCUUACAGCUACCAUCUCAAUACUUAUUGUUACUGAUUCCAGUUGAAGUCAGUUUGACUUAAUGAGCUCUUCUCUAUUUUCCUACUCAAACCUCUAUUCCACCAUGUCACCACUCAACCAAACUACUGAGAACCACCAGAGCUUCUUCACCCUGACUGGGAUUCCAGGAAUGCCAGAGAAAGACUUAUGGAUGGCCUUGCCCCUCUGUCUUCUUUAUAGCACCACGAUCUUGGGAAAUGUCACCAUCCUUGUUGUCAUCAAAGUUGAGCAAAGUCUCCAUGAGCCCAUGUAUUUUUCUAGCCAUGUUAGCUGCCACUGACCUCAGCCUUUCACUGUCUUCCAUGCCUACCAUGGUCAGUGUUCACUGGUUCAACUGGCGUUCAAUAACUUUUAAUGGCUGCCUUAUCCAGAUGUUCUUCAUCCACACAUUUGGGGGAGUGGAAUCAGGUGUUCUGGUGGCCAUGGCCUUUGAUCGCUUUGUGGCCAUCCGCUUUCCUUUGCACUAUGCUACAAUUCUCACUCACAGUGUCAUCAGCAAGAUUGCAGCAGCCAUCCUGCUACGGAGUGUGGGGGCUGUGCUCCCUGUGCCUUUUCUCAUCAAAAGGUUACCUUUCUGUCACUCCAAUGUCCUCUCCCAUGCAUACUGCCUCCAUCAGGAUGCCAUGAGGCUUGCCUGUGCUGACACUGGUGUCAAUAGCAUCUAUGGCCUGUUGGCUGUGAUCUUCAUCAUUGUACUAGAUGCCUUAAUACUUUUGGCCUCUUACAUUCUAAUCCUGCAGGCAGUAUUGAGCAUUGCUUCCCAGGAAGACAGGCUCAAGGCUCUCAACACCUGUCUCUCUCAUAUCUGCAGUGCUGCUUUUCUAUGUGCCUCUCAUUGGUAUGACCCUAAUUCAUCGCUAUGGGAAGCAUUUGUCACCACUAAUACACACAUUCAUGGCCAAUAUCUACCUGCUUCUCCCUCCUGUGCUCAAUCCCAUUGUGUACAGUGUUAGGACCAAGCAGAUCUGAUAGCAGAUUGUCCAGGCCUUUUGUGGGGCUAGGGUUAGCCCUUAAUGGCAUCUACUAUUUCCAAGUAAAUGCAAUCAAGUUAGAGAAGAGUAUCAAAUACAGCACUAUCCAAUAGAAAUUCCCACAGAAGUGGAUAUUUUCUAUUUCUCUGCUGUUUAGUAACUAGUAGCUGUACAUGGCUAUUAAUUGCUUGAAAUUUUGCUAGUGCAAGCUGAGGAACUGAAUUUUAAAUGUACUUAAUUUUAAUUGAUUUAAAUGUAAAUUUAAGUAGUCAUAUGUAACUAGUAGCUGCCGUAUCAAAUAGUACAAAUACAAUGGGUAGUGAUAUGAAAUUGCAUAAUGGUUUUCAUGAGAGCAAUAAUUUAUUUUAGCUUGAUAAAACAUAAACAUUUAUACUUUAAAAUUGUAUAUAAAUUUUCAAACAUUUAUGUAUAAUAAAAUUUACUCACUUUGGUAUAUCGUUUUACAAGUUUUGACAAAUGCGUUGUGUUCCCACCACUGAAACAAAGAUACAGAACAAUUUUAUCACUUCCCCAAAUUUCUUUAUGCUUCCCAUCUGUGGUCAACUACUCUAUUAUCACCCAACAGAAGGCAAACAUUGACUGGCAAGCAUUGAUUGGCAAUCCUUCCCUAUAAUGAUUGUUUUUCCAGAGUGG